AUUGAACGCUGGCGGCAUGCUUUACACAUGCAAGUCGAACGGUAACAGGGUGCUUGCACCGCUGACGAGUGGCGAACGGGUGAGUAAUGCGUCGGAACGUGCCGAGUAGUGGGGGAUAACGCAUCGAAAGGUGUGCUAAUACCGCAUACGUACUGAGGUAGAAAGUGGGGGACCUUCGGGCCUCACGCUAUUCGAGCGGCCGACGUCUGAUUAGCUAGUUGGUGAGGUAAAGGCUCACCAAGGCGACGAUCAGUAGCGGGUCUGAGAGGAUGAUCCGCCACACUGGGACUGAGACACGGCCCAGACUCCUACGGGAGGCAGCAGUGGGGAAUUAUGGACAAUGGGCGCAAGCCUGAUCCAGCCAUGCCGCGUGUCUGAAGAAGGCCUUCGGGUUGUAGAGGACUUUUGUCCGGGAGCAAAUACCCAGUGCUAAUAACGCUGGGGGCUGAGAGUACCGGAAGAAUAAGCACCGGCUAACUACGUGCCAGCCGCCGCAGUAAGAC
rnacentral:rRNA from 1 species